ACCACUGCACUCCAGCCUGGGUGACAGAGUGAGACCCUCUCAAAACAAAACAAAAAACCCUAAAUUCCUCACACAGGCUGACAAAGUUAGGAUCGAGGUCCUAUCCAGUUCUCCAGCCCCAUCUUCCUCCUUUGUUCACUGUGGGCCUCAAAUACCCAUGUUCUCUGCAAAUUCCAGGCCCUGGUGUGAGCCAUUCUUUCUCUGCCAGAAUGCUUCUCCCCUGGAUCAUGGUGUGGCUGCCUCUCUUCACUCAGGACAAGGGUCCCCAGGGAGACUGUCGCUGAGCACGCCAGCUAAGCAGACAGUCUUGCAGUCUCACUAUUGGUUGGCCUCUGCCAUGAUGCCCUUCAGAGCACUGGUCACCACCCACAAUGACUUUUCCCCUGCUGACCAUUUGCCCUGUUGUAAUGUCAUCUCCCUGAGGACAGGUGCCCUGUCUUCUUACUUCCGUAUCCUGAAAGUCCAACACAGUACCUGAUACAUAGUGGGUGCUAAACAAAUGUGUACUGGAUGAAUGAAAAAGAAACCCAUGGCAACAGGUCAAGUUCACUAGAAAGACUGAGAGAGCUGAAGCAAAACCAAGCAGCUGGAGGUGAGCAGAGUCCUUUAACCUUGCUCCCUUCUCAUAGCUCUAGAAACAGCAGCUGUGUUUUCUCCUCUCUGGACAGAGUUGGGCUGGCAUCCCUUCCCAGGAAGCUGGCAGUGGGCCUGGGCACACACCCUCAGAGCUCAGCUGAGUCACAGUCCCAUCAGAUAAAACCAUACAUCUAGGCAGGCUACAGGGCUUGAUGGAAACCACAUCACCUCAGAACCAUGAUUCGGUUUCUCCCUGCUCAGGAAACGAGCCUCACUCAGCGUUCCCAGCUCUGCUGCCUCACAGGAGCUCUCAGGGCUUUCCACUGUCCCUCACAUUCCCACGCCCAGGACCCCCUUCACCUCCUUCAAAUGGGAUUGUUUUCCUCCAGCUGUGGUAAUGUUGCUGCCCAAAUGCUUAGGAAGACCCACUCUUCCUUCAUAAAACCCAUAACCAGCGGAAGCAAGGUCCUCAGGCGCAUGUGCCCCUCCCUGCUUCUUGGGGUUGUGAGAACAAACGACUGGGUGAUCUGUGGGAAGUAGGUGGGAUUCGUGAACUGCUUAAAAAUGGAAGUUUGGGCUGGGCGCCCUGGCUCACGCCUGUAAUCCCAGCACUUUGGGAGGUCGAGGUAGGUGGAUCACUUGAGGUCAGGA